GACGAACGCUGGCGGCGUGCCUAACACAUGCAAGUCGAGGGUUUUAGUAGUAAUACGAAGAACACUGGCGCACGGGUGAGUAACGCGUAGAUCAUCUGCCCCUAACACUGACAUAACGAGUUCUAACGGACUGCUAAUAUCAGAUGUGAUAAGCAAUUAUUAAAGGGUAACCGGUUAGGGGAUGAGUCUGCGUCUGAUUAGGUAGUUGGUGAGGUAACGGCUCACCAAGCCUACGAUCAGUAACUGGUCUGAGAGGACGAACAGUCACACUGGGAACUGAGACACGGUCCAGACUCCUACGGGAGGCAGCAGUGAGGAAUAUUGCACAAUGGGAGAAAUCCU
rnacentral:rRNA from 1 species